rnacentral:rRNA from 1 species
ACGUCAAAUCAUCAUGCCCCUUACGUCUAGGGCAACAGGCGUGCUACAAUGGCCGGUACAAUGAGCUGCAACACAGUGAUGUGAAGCCAAUCUCAAAAGCCGGUCUCAGUUCGGAUUGUAGUCUGCAACUCGACUACAUGAAGUUGAAAUCGCUAGUAAUCCUGGAUCAGAAUGCCAGGGUGAAUACGUUCUCGGGUGUU